AACGAACGCUGGCGGCAUGCCUAACACAUGCAAGUCGAACGAGAUCUUCGGGUCUAGUGGCGCACGGGUGCGUAACGCGUGGGAAUCUGCCCUUUGGUUCGGAAUAACAGUUGGAAACGACUGCUAAUACCGGAUGAUGACGAAAGUCCAAAGAUUUAUCGCCCAAGGAUGAGCCCGCGUAGGAUUAGCUAGUUGGUGGGGUAAAGGCCUACCAAGGCGACGAUCCUUAGCUGGUCUGAGAGGAUGAUCAGCCACACUGGGACUGAGACACGGCCCAGACUCCUACGGGAGGCAGCAGUAGGGAAUAUUGGACAAUGGGCGAAAGCCUGAUCCAGCAAUGCCGCGUGAGCGAUGAAGGCCUUAGGGUUGUAAAGCUCUUUUACCCGGGAUGAUAAUGACAGUACCGGGAGAAUAAGCCCCGGCUAACUCCGUGCCAGCCGCCGCGGUAA
rnacentral:rRNA from 1 species